rnacentral:rRNA from 1 species
CUGGCAGUGAUUCACUGUCCGAGUUGUAAAUUGAAGAGAAUGUCAUCCACGCUGGACCACGUCUAAAUUGUAAUGAUCCACAGUCCUUUGAUGGAGUAUCAGAGAGGGUAAUAAUCCCGUCUUUAAAGUGGACUGCCAGUGUUUCUGUGAUGCACUCUCUCAGAGUCGAGUAGUUUGGGAAUGCUGCUCUAAUGGGAGGUAAACUCCUUCUAAAGCUAAAUAUUGGCGAGAGACCGAUAGCGAACAAGUACCGUGAGGGAAAGAUGAAAAGAACUCUGAAAAGAGAGUCAAAUAGAACGUGAAAUUGCUGAAAGGGAAGCGUUUGGAGUCAGACGCGUCUUCAUGCAAUACAGCUCAGUGGUUGAGACUUUGAGACAAGUUACUUGAAGACGGGCCAGCACUCACGAAGACCAUUGAAGAAGGGGUCAUGGAAUGUAGCUCAGUGCUGAGUGAUUAUAGCCUUGAUUCAAAAGCAAUGUGUCCUUUGUGAGAGAUGGACAGCACGGACAAC